rnacentral:lncRNA from 1 species
UGGAAUCCAGUCUCUAAACCCUCUCUCGAUUGGAUUUCUUCAUCCAAUCUCUAGCUAAUCACUCUCUCUUUGGUUAGCUACAUCAAGGUGGUAUCAGAUUCAAGGCUAACGCUCCUGGAAAUGUCAGACAUGGUCACAAAAAAGGAUGUAGAAGAUCUGAGGAAGUCAUUAGCAGAUCUGACUUCUGUGGUGGAGAAUCUGGCUCUCACUGUGCACCAGAUUGUGUCCGAUCAGCCCAAAACCGGCCGUUCCAGAGGUGAGUCCAGCAGAUCUAAGAAC